UGGCCCGUCGUCUAAUGGCAGGACAUCCGGUUCUGGUCCGGACGGUCGGGGUUCGAAUCCCUGCGGGCCAACCA
rnacentral:tRNA from 1 species